AUGAAGACAAGAGAAGACGAAUUUACUCUUUGCUCACAACCUCUAUGAUUUGUGGUUGGAACCAGCUCUUUUCCAGUUCUUGUAGCCUUCAGUAACAAAACUUAAACUGCUGGUUCCACCUUGUUUGAAGGAAGAAAAAAGAAAAAGGAAAACGUAAUACAGCAUCUUUGAGAAUGCUGUACUUAGUCCAAAGAUACAUGAUAUAAUAACUGGACUUAAAAGUUCGAAGAUCACAACCAUACUGUUUUUUAGGAAAACUUGCUAAGACUAGCUGUCUUGAAAGUUCAUAUAGCGAUUGAGCCAUAUCAAUGACUUAUUUUUCCUCUAUAUGAAAAUAUCUGGCUCUUGCCCUAGCAGGAAACAAGUACCCAUAUUUAGAUUAGAGAAUAAUUUAUUAAUAUUAAAUACUUAAAAACUUACUUUUCAAUUCCCGAACAACUCGGAAUGUCUCACGUUUACUAUCAUUAUUGUCGAAGUUGAUCUGAUUUUUUUUAAAUCGCAAUUAUUUAUAUCGCUAUUAAAAGUGAUUGGGCGAGA